GACGAACGCUGGCGGCGUGCUUAACACAUGCAAGUCGAACGGAAAGGCCCUGCUUGCCGGGUACUCGAGUGGCGAACGGGUGAGUAACACGUGGGUGAUCUGCCCUGCACUUCGGGAUAAGCCUGGGAAACUGGGUCUAAUACCGGACAGGAGCCAUUUUUAGUGUGAUGGUUGGAAAGUUUUUUCGGUGUAGGAUGAGCUCGCGGCCUAUCAGCUUGUUGGUGGGGUAAUGGCCUACCAAGGCGGCGACGGGUAGCCGGCCUGAGAGGGUGGACGGCCACAUUGGGACUGAGAUACGGCCCAGACUCCUACGGGAGGCAGCAGUGGGGAAUAUUGCACAAUGGGCGCAAGCCUGAUGCAGCGACGCCGCGUGGGGGAUGACGGCCUUCGGGUUGUAAACUCCUUUCGCUAGGGACGAAGCUUUUUGUGACGGUACCUAGAGAAGAAGCACCGGCUAACUACGUG
rnacentral:rRNA from 1 species